rnacentral:lncRNA from 1 species
AUGUGUCCCGGCCGGCGCUGCUGGGGCCUCGGCUCCCUCCUGCUGCUGCUGCUGCUGCUCGGGCGAAACCUGGGCUUCCUCGUGGAAAUCCCGCAGGAUGCAGUCACUGGCACCGUGGGGCAGUCCGUGCUCCUGCCCGUCUCCUACAGAUGCAACAGCACCUCUUGCUUCCCGGUGGCAAUUAAUUGGAUGUUUGGUCACACCUCACAAAGAACCAUCUCCUGCACCGUGCACAACUGCUCCCUGGAUGAUGGGGGGGCUCCCAAGAACUGCUCCACAAACUGUUUCCCCCAUCCUGCACAUUGGGGCCGUGUUGAGCUCUUCCCCGAGAACGCAUCCCUGCUGCUGUGGGACCUGCGGCUCAGUGACAACGGGGUGUACACCGUCAGCUUUCAACAGCACCAAAGACAAAUCAGGAACAUCACCCUGACCGUGCUCCAGCAGCCUGUCACCCCAGACCAUUCCAGUGAAGGGCGAAACCUGGGCUUCCUCCUGGAAAUCCCGCAGGAUGCAGUCACUGGCACCGUGGGGCAGUCCGUGCUCCUGCCCGUCUCCUACAGAUGCAACAGCACCUCUUGUUUCCCGGUGGCAAUUCAGUGGCUGUUUAGUCACCCCUUAGAAAUAAUCAUUGCCUGCUCAGUGCAGAACUGCUCCCUGGGUGAUGGGGGGGCUCCCAAGAAUUGCUCCACAAACUGUUACUCCUAUCGUACACACUGGGGCCGUGUUGAGCUCUUCCCCGAGAACGCAUCCCUGCUGCUGCGGGACCUGCGGCUCAGUGACAGCGGGGUGUACACCGUCAGCUUCUUACGGAAAAGACAAAUCAGGAAGAUCACCCUGACCGUGCUCGAGCAGCCUGUCCCCACAGAUCCUACCAGCAAAGGCACUUCUCAACCAGCAGGAAGAAUAGCCACACGCAUCCCUUGCUGCAUCCUCGGAGGCUGCUACUGCUUCAUCCUGCUGCUCCUGCAGCUGCUCUUCCACCUGUGCUGGCUGCGGGGCAGCCCUGGGGAAGCCUGCGGCUGCUGCUGGGGAGAAGGGAGCCAGCGUGCGGGAGCAGCCAGGGGAAAAAGGAAAUAAUUCAUCUAUAAAUGGUGCCAGCUUUCUGCACAGCCGCUGUUCUUACAUCCUUAAAAUAGUUGCAUACGCCAUAAAACAAAAUAUCUUUCCCAUUUUCCUGUCAAAAACCACAACAGUUUAUUGCCCAAACUUUGGAGGCUACCAGAGAAAAACAGCCAAAUCUGGCUGAUUGUGGCAGCAGCGUGGGGAAGAAGCAGGAGGAGUUAGGAAUCCGUGUUUUGUCAGGAGAUUAUGACCUGGUGUCCAUUCCACAGACAUGGUGGGACAGCUCACAGGGCUGGGCUGUGGCCGAGGACUGGUGUGUCCUGCUGAGGAAAGGCAGGCCAGCAAGGCGAGGUGGAGGAGUUGCUCUGUAUGUGAGAGAGCCACUACGUUGUAUUGAGUUCUGCCCAGGGGAGGAUUAGGAGAGAGCUGAGAGUCUGUGGGAGAGAAUUGAGGGGCAGGCUGGUGUGGGGAAUAGUGUUGUGGGUGUCUGUUACAGGUCACCAGACCAGGAUAAGGCAGCUGACGAGGCCUCCUACUGACAGCAGCCUCACGAUCACAGGCCCUGCUUAUCGUGGGGGAAUUCAGCUACCCUGACAUUUACUGGAAGGCCUCAGCCAGACACCCACAGUCCCGGAGGUUCCUCCUGUUACAAAUGAGAUCUCAACCCAAUCUGAAUUUAGUAAUAGUUAUAAAAGGCAAGUAAACUGCGCUGAGUGCGCGGGCAGUGUAUGCUCUACCAGCACGUACACACUAACAUCGAACUUUCUAAAUAUACAAAACACUUCUUUUACGUAUUAAACCCGAGUGCGUCUAUAGAUAUGAAUCAUAAACAUGUCAAAGUUUUAAAAAGCAAGUGUUUCACAAAGAAUCCUUGAAGGCAAUCGCUAUUAAUG